UACGAAGGGGGCUGGCGUUGCUCGGAUUGACUGGGCGUAAAGGGCGCGUAGGCGGUUUGUACAGUCAGACGUGAAAUUCCUGGGCUCAACCUGGGGGCUGCGUUUGAUACGUGCAGACUUGAGUUCGGAAGAGGGUCGUGGAAUUCCCAGUGUAGAGGUGAAAUUCGUAGAUAUUCGGAAGAACACCAGUGGCGAAGGCGGCUCACUGAUCCGGUACUGACGCUGAGGUGCGAAAGCGUGGGGAGCAAACAGG
rnacentral:rRNA from 1 species